ACUCUCAGGAUGCUGCGGUGACUCAAGGCUGUUGCCCUGAGCUCUGCUGUUUGGCAAAGACAGCAAAGAAACACAGCAGGGCUGCUUGUGGGAGUCCUUGGCGUGUUGGGUCUCGUCCUGCUCCCAGGGCAGGGGGCCGACCCUAACUGGCUCUCUCCCGCUUGAGCAGGGAACGGGAGGUGUGACAAUGGAGCUGCGCGCCAGUGACAGGGACCAGGGCUGUGCAGAUGGAGGAAGCUGUCAUGAGGGCUGAGGAGAAGCAGCGGCAGUCCCCGAGCCCACCACCAUCGCCAGGAAAUGGAAGGCCACGCAGGAGGAGCAUCUGCCUGCUGGUGCCUUGGGACAAUGAACCACUGGUGCUGCCCCCUGGGCCUGACCCUGGCUACCCCAUCACGGCAGAGAUCAUAGAGGAGGAGAGGAAGGCAGCGCAGCAGCGGUUGCGCUGACUCCUGGGGUAUAAGGAGGAUGAGGGCCCCAGCACCAGUGGGGAAGGUAUGUCCCUGGGCACAGCCAUCGCCCAGGGCUCCUCGGGCGCCAUCCGCACACGGGCAGCGUCAGCGACCGCAGCAUCGGUGGUUUCUGGGCUGGCCGAUUCCAGCAGCAGCGGCCUUACUGACA